rnacentral:lncRNA from 1 species
ACCCAAGCUCCUUAUUCUACCCUGUUCUGGCCCUCCCCUGGCCUGAUACCCCAGACCCAUAUCCCUGGGUCCCUGAGUCAUCGCCUAGCUUUUCCCUUUUGUUACUUCAUUUAUUCUGAGCUCUAGGACCAAAAAGAGAAAUCACUCCCUAUUCACAUGAAGCUUACAUUCUAGUUGAAAGUCAGUCAAUAACACAAACAAAAUAAAAAUAUUUUAGCCCAUGAUAAAUACUAUGAAGAAAAUAAGACAAUGAGAUUGGUGGUGAUGGGGUCUCACCUUUCUGAGGAGUUGCCAUUUGAACUGAGAGUGAGGGACGGGCAGGAGUCAGUCAGGCAUGGAUCUGGGGAGCAGGGGGGUCGGCAAGUGCAAAGGCUCUGAACAUAUGGCUUCUUGAGGGCCAGAAAGAAGGCCAUUUGCUAGGUGCACAGUGAAAGAGGGAGAGACGCACGAGGUGAGGUCAGAGAGAAAGAGGGGGCCAGAUCAUGGGGGUCUUGCAGGUCGUGGUUAGGUUCCUGGGACUUUAUUCUUAUUUCAGUGAAGCUUUUGGAAAGUCUGUGGUGGUCGAAUGCUGUAAUCUCACAUUUUAUGAAAGGUCACUCUGGCUGCUGUGUAGAGAAUGGACCACACAGGGCAAGAAUGGAAGCAGGAUGCCUUGCUCGAGACUUCACCCAAGCCAGAGAUGAUGGUGGCUCGGUGUGACAACAGUGCGGAUGAAGAAAAGCUCAGAAGCCCAGGUCUGGCACCUCUGAGAGUGGCUGACAGUCUCCAAGGUUUCCAGACUGCCCUGCUGAGAUGGAGGCAGCCCGGGCUGAUGCUGGAGCCCUAGGAUGGCCACAGGUAGGCCUGGAGUUUGGUCCCAUUUCUGCCACUUGCUUCCUAUGUGAUAUAGGGCAAGUCACUUUCCAUCUCUAAGCUAAGGUUACUUGUGUGCGUGUUCGUCCAUCCAUUCACCCAUCCAGUAAGCCUUUUGACUACUCUUCACUGCCUGUUGGAUCAAGUCUCAUCUCCUUGACGUAGCAUUUAAGGCCCCUCCAACUAGAAGGAAGCUGGAUGAGAGGUUUUGUUUCCUGAGUGCUCUUAUUCUGUCCUCUGUCUUACCAGUCCUUCUCAUGUCUCACCUGGAACCCCAGCUGGCCUCCUGUGCCAGGCAGCCUGGCAGGGGCACACUCCAGGCAUCUGAGCAAGAGAAGCUCUGUCUUCUUUGGGAAUUCUGGCUGCCUGGUGCUAACAGACUCAGAGUUUUGGAAGACGCUUUUCCAGUUCCUGAGUGCAGGCCUAAGCCUAGAGGUGGAAGAGAGGGCACCAAGGAGUAGGUUAUAUCAAGAACCAGUGAGGGCCAGCUGGCCAAUAGGCUCAGUGAGGUAGCCUCUGGGUGGACAGCCUGGCGGGAGGGAAAUAGAUGGGAGGACAACGAGUUCUGUAGAAGCUGAGACCUGGAAGUGGCCAUGGGCAGGUUGGUUUGACUCAGAAUUGCGGAUUGAGGUUGCUGCUGCCUUGGUGCCCAGACUUUAGAGGACAGCACAGCUUGGAUAUGUUGGGAAUGUGUCCUGUUCCAUCACUAUGACUAUGGUGAUUAGUUCAGGGGUAGUUGCAUGGCCCAAGAGUGGUCUUUCUGAAUGAAUUCAAGGAAUUGAGCCUGAGCAUUGGGGAAGAGACUUGUUCUUUUCCCACUGGACUUAUAUCUGGGAAGAUGAAGCUUGGAAUUGCUGGUAGCCAUUCCCUCAUAGAUGUGAAAUCUGAGACUGAAGCCAACAGAGACAGAGCAGAGCAGAGUAGAGGCACAACUAGACUGGGUGAUGCCAUGGUUUGAGCCUAGUAUGAAGCUUUGCCUGAAGCUGGCUGUCCCUGGUACUUUUUAGUUUCAUGUGCUCUUUUUUGCUUAAGCCAAUUAGAAUUUUUAAAAAGUUGUUUGUAACCAGGAGAGUCUUACCUGACACACAACCGAUGAUAAAAUUUGUCUUCAGAAAGAUCAAUGUGAUGGGGGAAGAUUCCUCAAGAGAUCAUCAAACCUCAGUCUUACAAGGACUCAGUGGAGCUCUGAUGACUACUAUCUUGUGUGGGAUCUAAUAGGGGUCCCACUGAUCUAGAGACCAACAGCCUGGGGACCCAAGACAGCUGCUCUUUGACCAGAGCCUGUCCACCUGGACACCGAGGGACCUGCCUUGCUGCGUCACAUGUAUCUGUGACUAAGAAGAGAUUGGACUGGUUACUGCCUAGCUCUGUAGCCCAGUCGGCUCACAUAGUCCAGGGAAAAGGGAUUUGUUAGACACAGGGACUAGGACUUGGCAAACCCACCUGGGGUGGGGGAGUGCUUCUGAAAAGGGUCUACUUAGAAUUAAAGGCUGGGAGAGAAAUCCUGUGUCACUCUGAUGUCCAACAUAGCCAUACAAGCUGGCUGCCACUCCUGGCUAUGACUUAACCUUCUGACAGCUCUUCUCCAAUUGGACUUCUGGGUUUCUACCUGGACAAAAGGAGCCUAGGCAGAGAAUUCAGAGCUUUUGGCCUGCAUAGGUUGAAAAUGCAGCAGAGCAGAAUGAAGAUUAGAUGGAACUGAAUACUGGAACAUACUACAAUUGUCCCUUGAUCUCUGUGGGGCAUUGGUUCCAGGACCUCCCACAGAUAUCAAAAUCUGAAGAUGCUCAAGUCCCUAGUAUAAAAUGGCACAAUAUUUGCAUAUAACCUUCGUACCUCCUCUGUAUACUUUAAUUGUCUCUAGAUUACAGUCAUGUGCCACAUAACAAUGUUUAAGUCAACUAUGGGCCACAUAUGCAAUGGGGUCCCAUAAGAUUAUAACGGAGCUGAAAAAUUGCUUAGUGACAUCGUCACCCUCAUAAGGACAUAGUGCAAUGCAUCAUUCAUGGGUUGUGAUGAUAACCAUUCACAUGGUUUCUUGUGUAAACAAACCUACUGCACUGUCAGUUGUAUAAAAGUAUAGCACAUACAAUUAUGUGCAGUGCAUAAUACUUGGUAAGAUAAUAAAAGACUAUGUUACUGGUUUAUGUGUUUAGUAUAUUAUACUAUACUUUUUAUCAUUAGAGUGUACUCCUUCUACUUAUAAGAAAUUAACUGUAAAAUAGCCUCAGGAGGUCUUCCAGGAGGUAUUCCUGAAGAAGACACUGUUAGCACAGGAGGUGACAGCUCCAUGCAUGUUGUUCUCUCUGAAGCCCUUCCAGUGGGACAAGAGGUGGAGGUGGAAGACAGUGAUAGUGAUGACCCUGACCCUGUGCAGGCCUAGACUAAUGUGUGUGUUUGUGUCUUCAUUUUUAACAAAAAUAUUUAAAGUUUUAAAGAGUAAAAAAAAUCUUUAAAAAAUAGAUAAAAGCUCAUAGAAUAAGGACAUAAAGAAUUUUUGUGCAGGUAUACGAUGUGUUUCAAGCCAAAUGUUAUUACAAAAGAGUAAAAAUUUACAAAAAUAGAAAGUUUACAAAGGAAAAAUGUUACAGUAAGUUCAGGUUAAUCUAUUACUGAAGAAAAAUAUUUGGUGCAGCCUGUGUCCAGUGUUAUAAAGUCUACGAUAGUGUGCAGCGAUGUCCCAGGCCUUCACAUUCACUCCCCACUUACUGACUCACCCAGAGCAACUUCAAGUCCUGCAAGCUCCAUUUAUUCAUUUUUAAUCUUUUAUACUGUAUUUUUACUGUGCUUUUCUUUGUUUACGUAUGUUUAACUAUACAAAUCCUUACUGUUGUGUUACAGUUGCCUACGGUAUUCAGUACAGAACAGGCUGUACAGGUUUGUAGCGUAGGAGCAACAGGCUAUCCCAUAUAGCCUAGGUAUGUGGUAGGCUAAACCGUCUAGGUUUGUGUAAGUACACCCUGCGAUGUUUGCACAACAAAACCACCUAAUGACACAUCUCUCAGACCAUAUCCCUAUUGUUAAUGGAUGCAUAACUGUACUUAUAAUACCUAAUAAAAUGUAAAUACUAUGUAAGUAGUUGUUAUACUGUAUUGUUUUGGAAAUAAUGAAGAGAAUAAAAGUCUGUAUAUGUUUAGGAUAGACGUGGCCGGGCACAGUGGCUCAAGCCUGUAAUUCCAGCACUUUGGGAGGCCGAGGCGGGUGGAUCACGAGGUCAAGAGAUCGUGACCAUCCUGGUCAACAUGGUGAAACCUCGUCUCUACUAAAAAUACAAAAAAUUAUCUGGGCAUGGUGGCGCGUGCCUGUAAUCCCAGCUACUCAGGAGGCUGAGGCAGGAGAAUUGCCUGAACCCAGGAGGCGGAGGUUGCGGUGAGCCGAGAUCGUGCCAUUGCACUCCAGCCUGGGUACCAAGAGCGAAACUCCAUCUCAAAAAAAAAAAAGGAUAGAUGCCACUUUUUUUUCAAAUAUUUUCUAUCCACACUUGGUUGAAUCCGUGGCUAUGAAACUUUUGUAUAUGGAGGGCCAACUGUAUAUAGAAUUGUAGUUUGUGGCCACACACAGUGGCUCACACCUGUAAUCCCAGCACUUUGGGAGGCCAAGGUGGGUGGAUCACCUGAGGUCAGGAGUUCGAGACCAGCCUGAUCAACAUGAUGAAACCAUCUCUACAAAAAAAUACAACAAUUAACUGGGCAUGGUGGUGGACACCUGUAAUCCCAGCUACUUGGGAGGCUGAGGCAGGAGAAUGGUUUGAACCCGGGAAGCGGAGAUGGCAGUGAGCUGAGAUCUCACCAUUGCACUCUAGCCUGGGCAACAAGAGCGAAACUCCAUCUCAAAAAAAAAAAAAAAAAAGGAGAGAGAGAGUUGUUGUUUGCUGGAUCUGUACUCAACAGAGCAGAAAUUACCUCAAUAGUAAAUAUUCUACAGUUCUCAUUUUAGCUGUUCUCAACAACUUUUUGGGGUUUGCAUAGGUGAUGCUCAACUUUGAGAUGUUCCAGUUUUCACAUAACUUUCAUUUACAUCUCUAUCACUUCUGUAACUAUACACUGAUAGCUCAGAUACUUCAUCCUUUGGCUGAUGGAUGGCGAUUUUGCCUUCGCUCUUGCAUGGCCAGUUGCUAAGUUCUUCUGCUUGGGGAUAAAAGGCUGGGUCUCUAUAG